CCGCGCGGCGCCGGUGCCUGCGCGCGCCUCCCGCCCCGGGCGCCGGCGGGUGACGCAAGCGGAAGGUCACGUCACCCUCCGGUGGAGGCUGAGGCGGCGCCGGGCGAGAAGAGGAGCUCUCAGUAAAACAUGUCGUGGAUCAGAGAGGGCGAGCUGACCAUCAUAGAGAGAUUUUGUGCCAACAUCAUUAAGGCAGGUCCAAUGCCCAAGCACGUUGCCUUCAUCAUGGAUGGCAAUCGCCGUUAUGCCCAAAAGUGUCAUGUGGAGAGACAGCAGGGGCAUUCGCAAGGCUUUGAUAAGCUGGCACAGACGCUACGGUGGUGCUUAAAUCUGGGCAUUCAGGAGGUCACUGUUUAUGCCUUUAGUAUUGAGAACUUCAAACGCUCCAAGGAGGAGGUGGAUGGACUAAUGGAUCUGGCAAGACAGAAAUUUAGCCGUCUACUGGAAGAACAGGAGAGCCUGAAGAAGCAUGGUGUGUGUAUCCGUGUCCUUGGGGACCUGCCCCUUCUGCCCUUGGAUAUUCAGGAGCUGAUUGCCCAAGCUGUGCUGGCAACUAGGAACUAUAACAAGUGCUUUCUAAAUGUCUGCUUUGCAUACACAUCGAGACAUGAAAUCAGCAAUGCUGUCAGGGAGAUGGCAUGGGGGGUGGAACAAGGACUGCUCGAACCCAGUGAUGUGUCUGAAUCGUUGCUUGAUAAGUGUCUGUACACCAACAACUCUCCUGACCCGGACCUCCUGAUUCGAACCUCUGGAGAGGUUCGGUUGAGUGAUUUCUUGCUCUGGCAGACAUCCCAUUCAUGCCUGGUGUUUCAGUCAGUCUUGUGGCCAGAAUAUUCCUUUUGGAACUUGUGUGAGGCCAUCCUUCGGUUCCAGAUGAACUACAGUGCUUUACAGAAGGCCAGAGACUCCUACAUGGAGGAAAGGAGGCGACAACAGAUGGAAAGGGAUCAGGCUUAUGUGACAAAGAAGCUGCAGCAGGAGGGGUUUGCGUCCCACGGAGACUCUCGGCGCCGACGGACACUGUUGCAGAAAUGCACUGCCAUGCGGGAAGAGAGAAUCCAGGGCUUCCUACAGGCACUAGAGCACAAGAGAGCGGAUUUCUUUGAAAGAUUGUGUACGGUGUCAGCAUGACAGAGGUGCUGGGUUGUUCUUGGGAAGACAAUUUUGAACCGAAUUAUAGAGAACAGCUGCUGCCCAGAGGAAUUCACUCGGUGUGGCUCUGCAGUGGGGAUGUGGGGCUGCUGUAGGACUUGACGUCCCUGCCGGCCCUGGCUGAGGGCAGGGACAGAGUACUGUGAACCUUUCUAGUUCUGUGAAUGCUGCUGAGGAAGUCUAGUGUGAGCAAUUUGCUGCUACCCCAGGGCUUGGCCGAACGAAGCUCUGUGCACGUACCUCCUCUUGUGUAAGUAGCAAACAGUAGCUGGGAUAAAAGUGUGCCGAGAUGAUGGGAGAUGUUGAUUUUAAACUUCUUUUGCUGUAUUUUAUUUUCUCUGUCUUCACAUUUCAGGAAACUGUCUGUGGAAAUAGUUUGCACUUCAUGAAAUGGAGCAUUCUCCAGUCGGCUUUGCCAGGCUGAGGGGGAGACUGUCUUCUACCCAAGAAUGUAUUUUUGCCUUAAAGAAACAAUUUUUCAGUUGUAUUAUGAUGAUAUAGGUGACCAGAGCUACAGUGGUGGUUUUCCACAAAGGACUAUUGCAGGUGUGGUAAUUGAAGGAUCUGGUUUACAAAAGGCUUGUAGGGCAAGUUUUAAUCCCUUUUAUAAAAGCCAUUGCUGUAGUAGGAGAGGAGAAAAAGUCAGUCCUUCAAGGCGUGGAAAAAAGGCUUGUUACCAGACAGUUUGUUUAUUCUACCUGCAUCAGUUAUUCCAGUAAAAUACCAGAUUUCCCUGUAAGCUUUGCUUCAUUAGUGGGUAGGCAUAAGUUAUACAGAUGAACUCUGAAUUUUAGGAAUGCAUCUUUCCAGUGAAUCUUUGUGACAGUUGUGGAAAUAGAGCUACAGGCUUCUCCUAGUGAGAAUUUAGCUCCCCUCGUUCAUGUUUAGAUGGGAAGAUGUGAAAAAUCAGCAUGACUGGAAAAAUGUGCUGCUCUUGUGACUGAGGUCUGAAAAAGCCCGAGGGAUUACCUGGAGCAGGAAGGGGGGAAAGUGUGGUCCUUUGGGGUGUUUUUUCUGGAUGAGGUUCAAUUAGAAGGUUAAAAGUUCAGGGCACAAUGAAGUGUAGAUCUUGUUAAUUGGAUUUGUGGCCAAGGGGCUGUGCCUGUACUCAGGUGUGAGAAAUGGCCCCUUUUAAAAGAGCCCAACUUUACAUGUCCCUUAGCGCAAGUACCGGCACCUGUGUGAAUUUUUCUUGUGGCAUUUUGUUGCGUAUUUAUUUAUUUAUUUUAAUUUUUAUUUUAACACUAUCUCACCCUCUGCAUUAUUUUGGGUAUAACUCCCCAUCUCCCUUUUUUUUGUUUGUUUGUUUGUUUUUGUGUUGGUUUUUUUUGAACAGAGAAAAAAAAAAAAAAAAAAUUAAGGUUGAUUUCCCCGCCCAGCCCCGGAGGGGGUUUGGGGGAGGCGCGGUGCUCGCCGUUGGCGGGCCCCGCGGCCGCGGAGGUGCGCCUGGUGCUGAACGAACAGCUCCGCUCACCUGCGCGCUGCACCGCGCAGCGCCGCGGGGGCGGGUUUCCACCUCCGCAGGGGGGGUACCCCGCCCCCCCCCCCCCCCCCCCCCCUUUCCCCACGGUGUGGGGAGCGGCCGCGCUCCCCCCGCUCCCAGCCAGGGCCCGCCGCUUUUUGUAUUGCUGCGCUUUUUUUUUUUUUUUUUCCCCUUUUUUCCCCCCAUUUUUUUCCCUACCCCCCCUCCCUUUUCCCCUCAGCGUUUCCCGUCCGCGGAGCGCUGAGGGCAGGCGCGCGGCGGGGGCGGGGGGGGGGAAGAGAGGGAAAAGGGGGGGGGCGCGAGGCCCAGUUGCGCGCGCGCCACCUCCUCAGCGCGCCCCCCCCCCCCCCCCCUUCCCUAUCCCCUCCCUCCCCGCCUGGCCCCACCCCACGUGACCCCGGCGGGCCAAUGGGCAGGCGGGGCGGUGGGGAUCCGGCUGGAACCGGUUGGGCCGCGUCCGGCUCUAUAUAAAACUUUAUAAACACCCGAUUCAAAUUAGUGGGGGUCGGGAGCCAGCGGUAGCCAGCCGGGAGGCAGCCCCGCCGCG